UCUCAUCGCCAUCUUCACUCCGUGUGUGCUUGUGUGUGUGUGUGUGUGUGUGUGUAUGGCGACCUUUUCAUCCAGCACACACUACACUCGACCGCGGGAGCGCGCACCAUCCCACUGUGCGCGGGAUCGCGCCUGGGAGGAGGAUCACCACAGACAGCAGCCAGGAGUCGGACUGCAGUGUGAACAUGGUGGGCAACUCUGACUAUAAAAUUAAGAAACCUCAAGGACCUGAAUCAAGAUGAGCAGAGAAUUGUGCCAGACACUUCCGCGCUGGGUAAGGCUCUGUGUGACGUCUGCUGUCAGGAGUUGGUGGCAUGAGUCUUAAUGACCAAACUAAACUAAAACCUGCUCUGAGCUUUGAGAUGAGAUGGCAUCUACAUGGAGGGGCAGCACAAAUCAGAGCAAACAGAAAAAAAGAGCAACAGCAUCCAGAGUAUCCUUUUGUGUUUUGGGGCUUCCCCUGGUAACCAGUGAACUAUGGGUAAUUACCUUACAGCAAGAGGUCAUUAACGGCUCAACAUGCCUCAAAGAGCCAUCAUGUACCUGACCAUCUGACAGUGGGACAGCCCUUCGCCCUCGCAGACUCAUCGGGAACACACCACAAGAGAUGUGUAAUGUAGAUGCAUAUGCAUUUUAUUCAGAUAAAUGUUUGAGCUUCUUGGCAGAGGAAUUUGUUGGGUCCAUCUUGAAACAUCUCAGACAACAAAUACAAGCAGACUUGAGUAAAACCUGAAUAUGCAGAGACCAUGUCAUAUAAAAGAGGCGCUGGAGCUUUGUUACUAUACCUACAUGGGGUAGUUACUAGGUAGUGUAACUACUCUGUGUAUUUGGUUGUCAGUAUCAGUCACCUCUUAAGUAGUGUCCAAACAUAUUCCAAAGUAGCAGUAGCAAACAGCAGAUCACACAUAAUUUCCUGAUCAGAUACCUUCCAAUUACGGUCUGGUGGAGGACAACAGGAAUUAAAAUGUCUCCUAAAAGUUGAACAAGAAGGACAGACCAAAAGUGUAAGAGAUACAAAAGCAGAAAAAAAA